rnacentral:rRNA from 1 species
UACAUGUGGGGCAAGCGUUGUUCGGAAUUACUGGGCAUAAAGGGUGCGUAGGCGGCUUGUUAAGUCAGGGGUGAAAGUUUUCGGCCCAACCGGAAAAUUGCCUUUGAUACUGGCGAGCUCGAGUGCGUGAGGGGUAACCGGAACGAGUGGUGUAGCGGUGAAAUGCGCAGAUAUCGGGAAGAACACCCGUGGCGAAGGCGGCACUCUGGGACGGUACUGACGCUGAGACGCGAAAGCGUGGGGAGCGAACAGG